rnacentral:rRNA from 1 species
AUUGAACGCUGGCGGCACGCUUUACACAUGCAAGUCGAACGGCAGCGCGGGCUUCGGCCUGGCGGCGAGUGGCGAACGGGUGAGUAAUGCAUCGGAACGUGCCCAGUAGUGGGGGAUAGCCCGGCGAAAGCCGGAUUAAUACCGCAUACGACCUGAGGGUGAAAGCGGGGGACCGAAAGGCCUCGCGCUAUUGGAGCGGCCGAUGUCGGAUUAGCUAGUUGGCGGGGUAAAGGCUUACCAAGGCGACGAUCCGUAGCUGGUCUGAGAGGACGACCAGCCACACUGGGACUGAGACACGGCCCAGACUCCUACGGGAGGCAGCAGUGGGGAAUUUUGGACAAUGGGGGCAACCCUGAUCCAGCCAUGCCGCGUGCGGGAAGAAGGCCUUCGGGUUGUAAACCGCUUUUGUUCGGGAAGAAAUCCUCUGGGCUAAUACCCCGGGGGGAUGACGGUACCGGAAGAAUAAGCACCGGCUAACUACGUG